rnacentral:rRNA from 1 species
CGUAAUCGACCGAUAGUGAACCAGUACCGUGAGGGAAAGGCGAAAAGAACCCCGGGAGGGGAGUGAAAUAGAUCCUGAAACCGUAUGCAUACAAACAGUGGGAGCCUCGUAAGGGGUGACUGCGUACCUUUUGUAUAAUGGGUCAGCGACUUACAUUCAGUAGCAAGCUUAACCGGUAGGGGAGGCGUAGCGAAAGCGAGUCCGAAUAGGGCGUUCAGUUGCUGGGUGUAGACCCGAAACCAAGUGAUCUAUCCAUGGCCAGGAUGAAGGUGCCGUAACAGGUACUGGAGGUCCGAACCCACUAAUGUUGAAAAAUUAGGGGAUGAGCUGUGGAUAGGGGUGAAAGGCUAAACAAACUUGGAAAUAGCUGGUUCUCUCCGAAAACUAUUUAGGUAGUGCCUCGUGUCUCACUCUUGGGGGUAGAGCACUGUUAUGGCUAGGGGGCUCAUAAGAGCUUACCAAACCAUGGCAAACUCCGAAUACCGAGAAGUGCAAUCACGGGAGACAGUCCAUGGGUGCUAACGUCCGUGGACAAGAGGGAAACAACCCAGACCGACAGCUAAGGUCCCAAAUGACGUGCUAAGUGGAAAACGAAGUGGGAAGGCACAGACAGCCAGGAGGUUGGCUUAGAAGCAGCCAUCCUUUAAAGAAAGCGUAAUAGCUCACUGGUCGAGUCGUCCCGCGCGGAAGAUGUAACGGGGCUAAGCACGUAACCGAAGCUUCGGAUGCCAGUUUACUGGCAUGGUAGGAGAGCGUUCUGUAGGCCUGCGAAGGUGUAUCGUGAGGUAUGCUGGAGGUAUCAGAAGUGCGAAUGCUGACAUGAGUAGCGAUAAAGCGGGUGAAAAGCCCGCUCGCCGAAAGCCCAAGGUUUCCUGCGCAACGUUCAUCGGCGCAGGGUGAGUCGGCCCCUAAGGUGAGGCAGAGAUGCGUAGCUGAUGGGAAACAGGUUAAUAUUCCUGUACUUACAUUUACUGCGAUGUGGGGACGGAGAAGGUUAGGUCAGCCAUCUGUUGGAAUAGGUGGUUUAAGCGUGUAGGUUGAUCUCUUAGGCAAAUCCGGGAGGUUAAGACUGAGGCGUGACGACGAGUCUCCUUGUGAGACGAAGUGAUUGAUACCAAGCUUCCAAGAAAAGCCACUAAGCUUCAGGUAAAUGAAAACCGUACCGCAAACCGACACAGGUGGGCAGGAUGAGAAUUCUAAGGCGCUUGAGAGAACCCGGGAGAAGGAACUCGGCAAAUUAGCACCGUAACUUCGGGAGAAGGUGCGCCCCGGUAGGGUGAAGGACCUCGCGUCCGGAGCUCGAUGGGGUUGCAGUGAAAAGGUGGCUGCGACUGUUUAAUAAAAACACAGCACUGUGCAAACACGAAAGUGGACGUAUACGGUGUGACGCCUGCCCGGUGCCGGAAGGUUAAGUGAUGGGGUGCAAGCUCUUGAUCGAAGCCCCGGUAAACGGCGGCCGUAACUAUAACGGUCCUAAGGUAGCGAAAUUCCUUGUCGGGUAAG